rnacentral:rRNA from 1 species
GACGAACGCUGGCGGCGUGCUUAACACAUGCAAGUCGAACGGAAAGGCCCUGCUUUUGUGGGGUGCUCGAGUGGCGAACGGGUGAGUAACACGUGAGUAACCUGCCCUUGACUUUGGGAUAACUUCAGGAAACUGGGGCUAAUACCGGAUAGGAGCUCCUGCUGCAUGGUGGGGGUUGGAAAGUUUCGGCGGUUGGGGAUGGACGCGCGGCUUAUCAGCUUGUUGGGGUAGUGGCCUACCAAGGCUUUGACUGGUAGCCGGCCUGAGAGGUUGACCGGCCACAUUGGGACUGAGAUACGGCCCAGACUCCUACGGGAGGCAGAAGUGGGGAAUAUUGCACAAUGGGCGGAAGCCUGAUGCAGCAACGCCGCGUGCGGGAUGACGGCCUUCGGGUUGUAAACCGCUUUCGCCUGUGACGAAGCGUGAGUGACGGUAAUGGGUAAAGAAGCACCGGCUAACUACGUG